rnacentral:rRNA from 1 species
AUUGAACGCUGGCGGCAUGCCUUACACAUGCAAGUCGAACGGCAGCACGGGUACUUGCUGCUGGUGGGGGGUGGGGGAGGGGGGAGUGAGACAUAGGCACAGGUCCCGUAGUGGGGGAGAGCGCGGCGAAAGGCGGACUAAUACUGCAAACGAAUAACGGAUGAGAGUGGGGGAAGUGGAGGUCCGGAGCUAGCGGGUUGGACGGUGCCGGUGUAGCUAGUUGGUGGGGGCAAGGCCAACCAAGGCGACGAUCAGUAGCUGGUCUGAGAGGAAGAUCAGCCACACUGGAACUGAGACACGGCCCAGACUCCUACGGGAGGCAGCAGUGGGGAAUUUUGGACAAUGGGCGCAAGCCUGAUCCAGCAAUGCCGCGUGUGUGAAGAAGGCCUUCGGGUUGUAAAACACUUUUGUCCGGAAAGAAAACCUGCGCCCUAAUACGGUCGUGUGAUGACGGUACCGGAAGAAUAAGCACCGGCUAACUACGUG